GAAAAUUUAGUUAAAAAAUAACAUUAAUUUGUCAAGUUAAAAUUAUUAGUCAUAAUAAUUUUCG
rnacentral:tRNA from 1 species